CCAGUCUCUGAAUACCUGCCCUCAAAGUAUUUGUAUGCCUUGAUAAGAUCCCCUCUUCUUCAAGCAUCUCCUCUCAAGGCUGAACAGACCCAGCUCCCUCAGGUUUCCUCCUGAGAGAUGUGCUCCAGUCUCCUCAUCCUCUUUGUGAUCUGGUUAAACUCUCAUGGUGAGACUCUCUCAGUGAUCAGUCUGAGGCUUUGCUGGAGCAGUCAUAGGGAUUUGGUCUACACCAAGCAGCAGACUGAAAGAGCUAUAUAAAGAUAACACCUCCAUAAAAAGACAUCGAUGCAAAUAUUUUUGUAAUCUUUUGAGUGGUAUGUCUCAUACUGGUGGCUCAAAAAUACAUGGCAAGA